rnacentral:rRNA from 1 species
GUAGGGAAUAUUGCGCAAUGGACGAAAGUCUGACGCAGCGACGCCGCGUGGGUGAAGAAGGUCUUUUGAUUGUAAAGCCCUGUGAGGGGGGACGAAAAAUUUAAAAUUGACGGUACCCCCAGAGGAAGGACCGGCUAAACACGUGCCAGCAGCCGCGGUAAUACGUGUGGUCCAAGCGUUGUCCGGAAUGACUGGGCGUAAAGGGUGCGUAGGCGGACACAUAAGUCAGGUGUGAAAUCCCCGGGCUCAACUUGGGAAGUGCGCUUGAAACUAUGUGUCUCGAGACUGUCAGGGGUAAGCGGAAUUCCCGGAGUAGCGGUGAAAUGCGUAGAUAUCGGGAAGAACACCGGUGGCGAAGGCGGCUUACUGGGGCAGAUCUGACGCUGAGGCACGAAAGCGUGGGGAGCAAACAGGAUUAGAUACCCUAGUAGUCC